GGUGCUGGCGGCCGCCGCCAUCUUCCUCUCCUCCGGCUCCUCCUCGCUUGGCGGGGGGGUGGGGGCACUGUCAUAGUGAAAGAGACAUAGUCCCUGUCUUGGAGGAACCAAGCUUCUGGAAGAGAUACCAGAGUAGAGAAAUGAUUAGGAUGCAAUAUUAUGGGUGCAAUAAUUAAGGUCACACCCCUGACCCCUCCCAAUGAUAUAAGAAUUUCCUCAUUUCUCUGGAAUGUGACCAGUCAGGAACCUCAACAUUUGCUUUUUUUUUUUUUUUUUUCCUAUUUAUGGGUGAAGAAGAAAAAGAGAGGCAGGAAAACUGAACUGAGAAAGAAGCAAGAAUAGGGAAAGAGAAAAAGAAAAAAGAAAACCAUGAAGUCUGAAGGAAAAGAAAGAAGAGAUGGAUGAGCAAAGAAGCACGCUGCCUGGUGGCAGUAAUAGUUGUUAGACACCUAUCUGUUAGAAUCUACUCUCCAUGAGAGAGAUUAAGAAGAGACAAGAUCCCCUGUCUAUCUUAAAAACAACAAAGGAACUUGACAACCUCUGAAAUAUACUUCCAGACUCAGCAAUCUCUCUCUUCUGAAUGGGACAUCCAUGGGUCUUUCUGCCUAUAAUCUGUGACAGUUGGAGAUGAUUUCAUUUAACGACCCUGUUCAAGGAGGCUGGUAUACACCAUGAGAAACUUUGUAUUGCCAUUUUGAAGACUCAUAUUCUCCAAAACAAAAUGUGUCAUUUGAAUUUGGCCUGUAGGUACAAAAUGGAAUGUCUCCCUACUCUGGUAAGAGUGAAAACAUCAUUUAGGGCCAGCCCCGUGGCUUAGCGGUUAAGUGCUCGUGCUCCGCUGCUGGCGGCCCAGGUUCGGAUCCCGGGCGUGCACCGACACACCGCUUCUCUGGCCGUGCUGAGGCUGCGUCCCACAUACAGCAACUAGAAGGAUGUGCAACUAUGACAUACAACUAUCUACUGGGGCUUUGGGGGAAAAAGUAGAUAAAUAAAUAAAAUUAAAAAAAAAUCAUUUAAAACAAAACGGUACAAGAUAGUGCAGUCCAGACAGUUGUUAAACUACUAUAUACUCUGCAGAAAGUCCUCUUUUACCCCUCAAGUGAUCUUGAGAUCACCAGGAGCCUUCUAACUAAAUCUAACAAUCUCUCUUAAUCUUGUAAGUUUUUAUUCUUUCAAACUUUCUGUUCCAUUGGGCGAUACUAAUCAUGUUUUCUUUACCGAAACUAUUUUUACCUUGAAUCCAAUGACAUUUUAAUUUUUUUUAUUCUACUACCUUAACCUCAUCUUUAAUUCAUUAUACUGCUAUGGCUCUAGGGAUAUUUCAUAAAUGCUUGGCUAUAAAAAUUCCCUAAGUGGAAAUAUAAUGGCAGGACUUGGUCACUUAUUGGAUGUGAAGGAAGGAGAGGAAGAAAUCAAGGAGACUCUCAGGUUUCUGCCUGGGAAACUGGAUGAAAAUAUAAAACAUAAGAGAAGAAAUAGUUUGGAGAGAGGUGUGGAUGUGUAGGUAAUGAAUUUGUUUUGGACAGGUUGAACUGCAGUUGUCUGGGAUUAAGAGAUCUUGUGGAUCUAGAGAACUCGAGAGAAAUCUGACCAGAGUUGUAGAUUCUGGAGACAUCAGCAUGUAGAUGGUAAUUAAAGAUACUUGAGUGGUUUCAGAAAGCUUGCCUAUGAAAUGAGAGAGCUAGGAGAGAUUCUGUCCCAUAAAGAGGUGAGAAACUUAAGCAGGAAAGAAUCCAGGAUAGAAAAAUAACAGAUGAGAGGCUAAGUAGAUAGGAAUGUGACUUCUGAGGAAAUUGGAGAAGAUAGAUUUUCAGGACACGAGUGCAGAGAGGGAAAUCUCUUUCUGGUGGAAUAAUACUGAGAUUGUAAUUGUGGAGUUUUCCUCCCCGCCUCGCAUGUUUUCUUUUAUCCCUUGCCCUUUUGGAUUUCAAAACUUAAGGUUACAAAGUUGCGUAGACUCUGAAGAAUUCAGGACAAAGACUGAUGGUUUAAGAGUAAGGCUUUCAGCACCAGAAUAUAUAAAAAAUUCCUCUAAUUGGUGUGUAUAGAAUAUCAGAGAGGAGAGCAAGAAACAAGCAGACUUGGUACUCUACCUCCCACCCCAAGCCAGGAGCCCUGAGGAGAUUUCUGGAGAUUCUAAAUAGGUUUCUGGCAUUGAGAAGAGAAGAAACCACAAUCCCCAUUACUGAGUAAAGCCAAAGAAGGUGGCAAGUCCACAGAGUUCCUCACAUCCAGAUGGCACAGGAAAAUAGGCAAAACGGUAUUGUGAGCUCACGCUUUGAAUUUCUACAUCUUCUCCAAGAACUUCAAUCAUAAAAAGAUUUUUUUUUUUAAAUUGCAAGACGUCUCUGGGUUCAUUAAAAAGAUAGUCAUCUCUGGGCAUCUGAAAUGAUACAGCAACGCAACUCUUAGUGGGUUUAGUGGGGCUAGCGCUGUGGCCCUGAUGGUCUUCUGUGUCUGGAAGCAGGUGAAGUUGGCUUUGAGUUUGACUCCUUCAGAGUCAUGGAGAUCAACAGCACCCUAUACAGGGUAUGGCAGCUUAGUCAGGCUCAUUGUGAAACUGGGAUUUGGGAAAAGCUAUGACUUCACCCUGAGCUAGAGUUUAAAAAACAAAACAGACAAACAAAACCCCCUGCUCAUCUGUGGUAGUAGAAGGAAGCAGAGAAAUCAGUGUAUACAAGACUUGUGCCAAUCUGCUUUCUGGCUCCAUAGACAGAUCUGCUAUCUUCCCCAAUAUCCCUGAGGGACAGAGUCCUGAGACACCUAGUUCUGGACUCGGGAUCUACGUGGAGGCUACCCUAAGACAGGAUUGGGGUGGAGUAGGUAGAAAGAUAAAGCUACCGCUUAAGAUGAGCUACAAAUUGUAAUUUGCACACAAGGCAAAUUAACACUAAAAAUAUUAGCCAACCUCUCAACUUAGUUUUUGUUUAAUUGAUCUGUGAGUUUCUAAUAAAGAUAUAUGAAAAAUUCCCAAUAUAGUUGUUGAUCUACUUACUUUUUUCUUGUAAUUCGAUUACUUUUUGUUUUAUUUCAUAGUUAUGUGGUUAGCUGGAUAGAACUUCUUGGCAAGUUUUAAUUUUUAUUUUUUAAUGUGUAAGUUUUUGUCGUUAUGUGAUAUCUCUGUCCUUGUUAAUACUUAUUUGCUUUAAAUUGUUUUAUCUGAUACUAAUAUUCUACUCCAACUGUCUUUUGGUUAGCAUUUGCUUGCUAUAACUUUCCUUUCUUUAUUUUCAACCUUUCUGUGUUAUUUCAUUACCGCACAUCUUUUGUAAAUAGCAUGCAACUAGGUUUUUGUUUUGUAAUCCUGACAGUCUCUGUUUUUUAACUGGAAAGUUCAAGUUAUAUGAGUAUGACCUACUUGAAAUGAUCUCUACCAUUUCUAACACGUACUUUUGAUUUUCUGUAUACAAUACUUUCUCCUUAUUUAUUUAUUUAUUUAUUUAUUUAUUUAUUUAUUGGUUUGUUUGCCUUUCCUACCUUUGUUGGGUUGAUAACUUUUUUUAAUUCCUUUUCUUUUACCUCUGCUGGUUUGGAAACUAUAGAUUAUAUUUUGUCUAUGCUAUAAGCAGCCACUUAAUUUUUACUUGAUUAAA